rnacentral:rRNA from 1 species
CACGCGCUCGGCACCUUUUACCGAAUACAGUCCCAGCCUUGUUAUGCGGCGCAUAUUAUGUGGCAUACAUGAUGGCGACCUACUCCGCACCGUCCGGGUGUGGGGUGCUUUGCCGCAACGCGAGAACUCAACCUGGCGACCAGGAAAACAUUGUAGCAUGAAUCUGGAACCAGGUCUUAAAAACGCAAAUAAUGACGAUCUCUAAUCGACUUCGGACUCUCUCACCACCUAACGAGGCCCUUGGCCAGCGCCGCAGCCGCCGCUACCUCCGGACGUCCUAGCUGCUAAAGGGAUGCCUACACCAACGGUUAGAAGGUCCCCCGUGGCGCCGGGCGUCUAGGGACAGUUCUAUUCCCCUCGCUCUAACCCUCUUCUCUGCCCCUACACGAUGCCCUAAGUAGACACUGGCGCGUGUUGUUGCCGCGCCUCGGGCUGCUGCUGCCCUCGUUCCCUAUACCAGGUUGCCUCAGACCCUCAGCUGGCAGUUGGCCCUAUACGCCAGCGGGCCGACUUAAUUCUCUUAACCUAGCUACACCUGGACGCCAACGCACAAGAAAAUUGACGGUGUGUCUCCUCUAAUGACCUAUUUCAAACAACCUUGUUUUUUUACACUCUGUUAGUUUUCACAAACCCAGGUUUAAACACAGACUUAGAUACCCACGCAAUAGAAAGUACGGCUUUCUUACGGCGGGUCCAUCCUAACCUCGGGAGCUUUUUAGUUAUUCCCCGAAACGCCUCGCUCUGCUUCUACUCCAAUAAUUCGAUCUCAAUCCGUGGUGUCGAAGCUUACCCAAAAGUACCUUAAACAGUCCUACUACCCUCCACACCGUGGCUUUCUGGUAUAGCUUUCUAGUCACGUCUCGAUACCUCCAACUUUAUUCUUCGUGUGAUGGCCUAUGUCACGUAGCUACCACAUUCACCGUGCAGAACUUCUUCAGAUUUCUUUCAAACCCCCGACACAUGCCCUUCUCUUUACUUAAAUCCGUUCUCCAAGUAUCUCACCAAUUGGUGUACGAUUAUCACCUGCUCAAACUCUUUCGCACCCGAGUGGAUGAUCUCUUCAUCAUGUUGGACUCCUGUGUGUGUAUGUACUGCGUUGAGAAACUCUGUUCCCUCUUCACCCGAUUCGGUACAAACUUCCCACAAAAGACACGUUUCUACUUGUCUGGGUUUCCUCACUUUCACACUUGGUAUACGAAUACUUGAACACGGUGGGCCGAGAGGCUACAUAUGUGAAAACUCCGUCAUGUACUCCAACGUCAAACUCGCGGUUAGCUUACUCUGAAUACUUCACUUCUCUUGAUUUUAGCGUGCACAUCAGGAUCCCUGUUUAAGGAGCUAACUCUAUGUUCGGUUGUUCCUUACGUGGGCACGUUGCAAGUUCGUCAAACUUUAGGAUAUGCUAACCGCUUGGUAUUCCUUUUUACCUCGUCCCUGCAUAAGGAUCACUUUUACUAACUGCUGCCUCGUACAAAACUCUCUCUUAUACAGGAGAAACUUGUAUACCCCUACGAGACAGCAGUACAAGACUUCCAGUACCUAUUAUAACCCUACUUUCUUUUAUGUUUCUCUGUGUAUCACUUUUCCGCCUGUUUUAUAGGUUCUCUAUAAAACGGUCUAGUGAACUUCGUGAUGGCCGACCUGGUCUAGUUGUUGUGUAGGGAUUGAAAAGCCGUGUUGGCCUACAUGUAAUCCCGCAACCUUGACCAAGCUGAACCUCUGCGUUCACAACUCCGUAUAGUUUGAGACUACCCCGAAAAUCUGGUCCGGUACGGCCACUACCUGGGAAAACUGUUUACAGCACUGUCCGAUCCCGAACCUUCUGGCACCUAUUGUUGUUACACCGUCUAUGGCUGCCCCUCACUCGACCCUCUUCACACACUUCUGCUGUCUUACAGUACGUCGUACUUCAAAACCUAAUCACCGUGGUUCGUUCUUGCCUUUGCGACCGUCUAGUCGUUACGGACUCUGUUCCGCAGUAUACUGCCCUACUGGUUCUCUUCAUCCAAAACGUCGUAAACGUUUAGGGUCACGGUGUUUUCUUGUUGAAGUGGCCUCUCUCCCCUAUAAGGCGUUGGCUCCUUCUUUAGGUUUACGUCAUUUACGUCACCACUUCCCGUAUCCUUCUUAUGAAUGCUUGCCGUUCGUUCCCUCUACUUCACUCAACUUUCGACCAUCACAGUUCACACGAUUAAUUCAAAAAUCAAACUUUUGGCUGCACACCGACACAAAGUCGAACACCAAUACCACAAAAAAAAAAGAAAGAUUAACACGAUAUCCUUUGACUGUACAGUUUGACGAGGAAGAACAACCGACCACGACACAGACUUCGUACCUACCAACCACAUCGAACAUCGGAUACUUAAGUUUCCAACUUACUAGUUUCGACAACCUGACCACUUCAGGGGUCGCGUUAUUUAAAGAGAUAAGACCGAAGGU